UUAGAUGAGUAAGACUGCUUUAGCAAG
rnacentral:piRNA from 1 species